rnacentral:rRNA from 1 species
UACGUAGGGGGCAAGCGUUGUCCGGAAUCAUUGGGCGUAAAGCGCGUGUAGGCGGCUGGCUAAGUCCGCUCUGAAAGCCCGGGGCUCAACCCCCGGGAGGCGGGUGGAUACUGGCCAGCUCGAGUCCGGAAGAGGAGUGUGGAAUUCCUGGUGUAGCGGUGAAAUGCGCAGAUAUCAGGAGGAACACCAAUGGCGAAGGCAGCACUCUGGGACGGUACUGACGCUGAGACGCGAAAGCGUGGGGAGCAAACAGG